rnacentral:rRNA from 1 species
UAAUACCGAAUGCGGCUGCUGGGAGGCAUCUUCUGGCAACCAAAGCUGGGGACCGUAAGGCCUGGCGCUUCACGAUGAGCCCGCGGCCUAUCAGCUAGUUGGUGGGGUAACGGCCCACCAAGGCUAAGACGGGUAGCUGGUCUGAGAGGACGACCAGCCACACUGGAACUGAGACACGGUCCAGACACCUACGGGUGGCAGCAGUCGAGAAUUUUUCACAAUGGGCGCAAGCCUGAUGGAGCGACGCCGCGUGGGGGAUGAAGGGCUUCGGCCCGUAAACCCCUGUCAUUUGCGAACAAGGCGGCUGACCUAACACGUCAGACGUUGAUAGUAGCGAAAGAGGAAGGGACGGCUAGCUCUGUGCCAGCAGCCGCGGUAAUACAGAGGUCCCAAGCGUUGUUCGGAUUCACUGGGCGUAAAGGGUGCGUAGGUGGCGGGGUAAGUUCGGUGUGAAAGCUUCGAGCUCAACUCGGAAAUGGCAUUGAAUACUAUCCUGCUCGAGGGUCGGAGGGGAGACUGGAAUUCUCGGUGUAGCAGUGAAAUGCGUAGAUAUCGAGAGGAACACCAGUGGCGAAGGCGAGUCUCUGGACGACUCCUGACACUGAGGCACGAAAGCUAGGGGAGCAAACAGGAUUAAAUACCCUGGUAGUCCUGGCCGUAAACGGUGCGCAUUUGCUGUGAGCGGAAUCGACCCCGUUCGUGGCGAAGCU